UACGUGAGGGGCGAACGUUGUUCGGUGUCACUGGGCUUAAAGGGCGCGUAGGUGGUUGCGUAAGUAAGGUGUGAAAGCCCUCGGCUUACCCGGGGAAUCGCGCCUUAUACUGCGUAGCUUGAGGAUCAAAGGGGAAGGGGGAACUCCAGGUGUAGCGGUGAAAUGCGCAGAUAUCUGGGGGAAGGCCGGCGGCGAAGGCGCCCUUCUGGUUGAAUCCUGACACUGAGGCGCGAAAGCGUGGGGAGCAAACAGG
rnacentral:rRNA from 1 species